AUUGAACGCUGGCGGCAUGCCUUACACAUGCAAGUCGAACGGUAACGGGCCUUCGGGUGCCGACGAGUGGCGAACGGGUGAGUAAUGCAUCGGAACGUACCUUUCAGUGGGGAAUAACGUAGCGAAAGUUACGCUAAUACCGCAUAUUCUGUGAGCAGGAAAGCAGGGGAUCGCAAGACCUUGCGCUGAUUGAGCGGCCGAUGUCAGAUUAGCUAGUUGGUGAGGUAAAGGCACACCAAGGCGACGAUCUGUAGCGGGUCUGAGAGGAAGAUUCGCCACACUGGAACUGAGACACGGUCCAGACUCCUACGGGAGGCAGCAGUGGGGAAUUUUGGACAAUGGGCGCAACCCUGAUCCAGCCAUGCCGCGUGAGUGAAGAAGGCCUUCGGGUUGUAAAGCUCUUUCGGCCGGGAAGAAAUCGAAUGGGUUAAUACCCUGUGCGGAUGACGGUACCGGCAUAAGAAGCACCGGCUAACUACGUGCCAGCCGCCGCCGUAAUAC
rnacentral:rRNA from 1 species